UUGCUUCCUCAGCACAUAUACUAAAAUUGGAACAAUACAGAGAAGAUUAACAUGGCCCAUGUUCAAGGACGACAUGCAAAUUUGUGAAGCAUCCCCCUUUUUA
ensembl:snRNA U6 U6 spliceosomal RNA